AGGCUUCUGUAUCCAAGAUGAGAUUCCGUCAGCGACCAACCCACUGGGGUUGGCUGAUGCAACUUCCCAGAUAAAUGAAGCG
rnacentral:pre_miRNA from 1 species